CCCCAGUGGAAUCUUGACAAUCCCAUUCAGACUCAGUUGGCUUCAAAUGUAGCCACAAGUCACACACACAGGGAAGGGAAAAUUUGAAUGCAGACCAAGGGACCCAGCUGAGAACACAGUGAGAAGGUGUCACCUGCAAGCCAACGAGAGAGGCCUCGGAAGAAACCAAAUCUAUUGACACCUUGAUUUUGGACUUCGGGCCUCCAGAAUGUAUCGGCAUAACUGGGCAUCUGUACCUACAAAUGAGGACCUGCUGUCCUGCAGGCUACUCUUUGCUCAGUGUUAUUUCAAUAUUGGAUUGUACAUUCGUGUUUUAAAGGUGGCAGGGAAAGUAUUGAGAAGAUGACUGAUUUAUCAAGGUUCAGAAAAGAAGCCAUUGACUGAGCACUUCCGAUGUUUCUGAUUGAUUUACUGUGAAAUGCCCUGAACCGUCUCACUUGUGCAUGUUUGUGUCAAGCGCAGCUAGUGAC